CCUCCAUCCCUUUCUUUCAGUUAGCUGAAGGACAGUAUGCUGUGGAACCCUAUUCCAGCUGAGCAGCGAACAGCGGAGGGACUAACAGAGGGAGUUUGCCUGGGAUCUGUCCGAGAGGAGGACAGAAGUGACUUUGUCUGUACAAAGUGCAAGCUGGUCUCCAUAUUGGAAGAGAGGUUCAAGGUCUGGAGAAACAAGUAUUGACCUUUGUCAGGAUAUGCUUCUACGGCACAACUUUCUGAAGAUUCAGAGUAGGCUGUGCAGCAGGGACAGAAGGACGGUGAAGAAAUUUGGCAGCAUGUGACCUCCAGAAGAAGAAAGAGAAGCAUCCAUGUACCAGCAAUGCAGAUACAGGGCAGAGGUGAGCGAACUUCAGUAAGAGGGAAGGACAAAGACUCAUCUCUAGAAGGAACUGCGACUUCCUCUGUUGUGAAUACAGACUACACU